UAUAUUAGCAACUGCCGAAGACAGUAGGUGCUGUAAAGCGUAAGGAUAAAACGCCUACCGAGGAGAGUUAGAUUUCUACGUAAGUAUGAAUUGACGAAAACUCCGUGUCUUUGGAUGCGGAGCUUUUUUUG
rnacentral:sRNA from 1 species